CCAACUUUUAACUUUGCCAAAAGUGAAGAUACUGUUCAAAAAACAAUGAUGAUGAAAAUAUUCUCUUUUUGUAGUGUGGGUUUCGAUCUGUGAGUAUAUGGGUUUUGAUCUGUCACUGUGGUUGCAAUUUGUUUCCAUUAUUCCAUAUAACUGUAUGAGAGAUACAUCCUCGCAUGCUUGAAUUCACAACACAUAUCAGUUUACAUCGUGUCUUCGUCAUUUUCGGAAUCCUUUCGAGUGUCUGUCCGUUUUCAUUCGCAUGUGGCCAUAAGUAUUGCAUUAGUUUGAUCUGUGUGAGUAAACGUUUUUUUGCAGUUUAAGGCGGAAGUAUCAGAAAAAAGAAAUUCAAUAUCAUUGAAAUGAAAUCCAGUUGAAAGAGAUUGCAUCCUCUCUUCGUUUUCAGUUUUCCUUUGAAUCAAAUUUUUGCUAUAGUUUGUGUGUUGUCGUCCUCUCGUUUUGUUUUUCUCUACUUCAACGAAAAAAAGAAAGAGUGAUAUGUUUCUUACUUCCUAGUUCCUACUUUGCAUCUUAUUUCUUCAAAAAAAAAAAAAAAAAAAGGUUUCAUCUUACUUCCUCUGCGAUUUGUCAUUUCCUCAAUUUACUUUUUUCAAAAAUAUUUUUCGUCGCAGCUUUUGUGCUCUCAUCGUCUCAGUUACUGUUGCUCCAUUUCUCAAAAAAAAAAAAAAAAAAAAAAAAAACCAAAAAAAAAUCUAGACGCUUCCAACUUUUCACUUUGAAGGUUUUAUUCACAUUGGUAAGUAAAGGGUGCAGAAAAAGUGAAAACACAACUCGCAAACUUGUGGCAAGAAGGAGAGAGUUGCUCUGCAGUCCGAGUGGAGGUAGCGGAAAACAACCUGUUCCUGCAUCAUUGAUAAAUUAUAAUCCGAGUUGAGAGUUGUUCUUCAGCUUGGUUUUUCUUUUGCUCCAUUUCUCUCAAAAAAAGAAAAGAAAAGAAAGAGCUGGACACUUCCAACUGUUCACUUUGAAGGCUAAAAUUCUUCACAUUGCUAAGACAAGAGGGUGCAGAAAACGUGAAAAAGAACUUGCAAACUUGUGGCACGAAGGAGAGAGUUGCUCAGCAGUCCGAGUGGAGGUAGCGGAAAACAACCUGUUCCUACUUCAUUGAUAAUUUGGUCUCCUAAAGAGAAGGUCACCACCAAAUUGAAGAAUUGACAGAGUAGAAUGGAAGUUAUUAGACGCUUGUGCCAUUGUGUAGCCUAAUUCUUUAUUUGAAGGCAGAAAAUAUCAGAUGAUAACUGAAAUAUUUAUACCAAGCAACAGGCUGGAGUUGGAAUAAUAGUU